rnacentral:tRNA from 1 species
CAGAAAAUAGUUUAGUUAAGAAUCCUGGCUUUGGGAGUCAGGGGUGCGAGUUAAAAUCUCUCUUUUUUGG